CCCCUUGCGGUUAGCCUACCUACUUCUGGUGCACCCCACUCCCAUGGUGUGACGGGCGGUGUGUACAAGACCCGGGAACGUAUUCACCGCGACAUGCUGAUCCGCGAUUACUAACGAUUCCGACUUCAUGCAGUCGAGUUGCAAACUGCAAUCCUGACUACCACCGGCUUUCUGGCAUUGGCUCCAUCUUGUUGCUUAGUCUCCAUAUAAUAAAAUACAAAAUAGAAAUAGACCAUAACGAUAUGAUAAGCCUAACAAUGAACAAAAUAUCCUACCUCACUUUCGCAGAAUCCUCACCAUGUUAUGACUAUAUACAUAACUUUAUAACUUUAAUCCACUUAGGCAUGAUACAAACAAUUGACAACGCAUCAGCCAGCCGACUCAUCUAGCCAUAUUUCGCAAUCGGCAUCAACAACACAUCUGUCCCAAUCUUAAAAAAGAUAACAGAUACGUAAGAAGUUAGCAAACG
rnacentral:rRNA from 1 species